rnacentral:rRNA from 1 species
AUUGAACGCUGGCGGCAGGCUUAACACAUGCAAGUCGAGCGAGCGGCGGACGGGUGAGUAAUGUCUGGGAAACUGCCUGAUGGAGGGGGAUAACUACUGGAAACGGUAGCUAAUACCGCAUACCAUCAGAUGUGCCCAGAUUGGAUUAGCUAGUUGGUGGGGUAAUGGCUCACCUAGGCGACGCUCCCUAGCUGGUCUGAGAGGAUGACCAGCCAAACGGGAACUGAGACACGGUCCAGACUCCUACGGGAGGCAGCAGUGGGGAAUAUUGCACAAUGGGCGCAAGCCUGAUGCAGCCAUGCCGCGUGUGUGAAGAAGGCCUUCGGGUUGUAAAGCACUUUCAGCGAGGAGGCGUUACUCGCAGAAGAAGCACCGGCUAACUCCGUGCCAGCAGCCGCGGUAAUAC